GACGAACGCUGGCGGCGUGCCUAAUACAUGCAAGUCGAGCGGGCCUCCGGAGGUGCUUGCACCUCCGGACGGCCAGCGGCGGACGGGUGAGUAACACGUGGGCAACCUGCCUUUGAGGCCGGGAUAACACCGGGAAACCGGUGCUAAUACCGGAUACGUCCUCUUUCGCGCCUGCGAGAGGGGAGAAAGACGGUCUUUAAGGCCGUCGCUCAAAGAGGGGCCCGCGGCGCAUUAGCUGGUUGGUGGGGCAAGGGCCUACCAAGGCGACGAUGCGUUGCCGACCUGAGAGGGUGAUCGGCCACACUGGGACUGAGACACGGCCCAGACUCCUGCGGGAGGCAGCAGUAGGGAAUCAUCCGCAAUGGGCGAAAGCCUGACGGUGCAACGCCGCGUGAGUGAGGAAGGUUUUCGGAUCGUAAAGCUCUGUUGUGAGGGAAGAACGGCAUCCGGAGGAAAUGCCGGAGGUUUGCCGGUACCUCACCAGAAAGCCCCGGCUAACUACGUGCCAGCCGCCGCAGUAAGAC
rnacentral:rRNA from 1 species